rnacentral:SRP_RNA from 2 species
GCUGGGUGUGGUCGUGGGCACCUGUAAUCCCAGCUGCUCGAGAGGCUGAGGCAGGAGAAUUGCUUGAACCCGGGAGCUGGAAGUUGCAGUGAGCCUAGAUUGCACCACUGCACUCCAGCCUGGGUUACAGAGCAAGACUCUGUCUCGA